CGUUCGGCCCGGCUGAAAGGGCCCGUCGAGGCCCAGCAGGAAUUUCUCGGCCCCUUUCACACACCAAAAAAAAAACCAGGUGAGGAAUCUACCAAUUGAUUUUCUUCACCCGUCCACCUCGUCUUGCGCUCCUCUGUCUCGGCGACGACUGUGCUACCGCCGCCGCCGCCGCAAGACUUCGUCGGGCACUUUGCCGGCGACGAUUUCCCACCAGGUGCUUGCUAUGGAACUUUUGAGGCGUUCAGAUACAAGAUCCCUGGAUUGCUAAAGAUCAGAUACAUUGGGCAAACCACCGUUGGCAGCGCUGCGAUUUUUGGGCUUUUCUUGGGGGCUGGGAGCUUGAUUCACUGUGGAAAAUCCUACUAGUUUGUUUCCCUUUUUUUUUCUGAAGUCUGAACACACCUUUGUCGAUGGGCUUCAGUGAAAACUAUUCAAUGCCUGUUUCAUGUAACAGCUAAUAGCUCAGGGUUGGAAAAGAACAAUCAAGUUAUGUCCUAGUUUUGGUGUGGAUGGAAAUAGAAUCAACGUUCAUCUGCACGAGAAUCGUCAAUUUCUCAUCUAGCGUCUUAUGUUCUCAUCUCAUUUUCUUUAAAAACGUAAGGAAUUCUUUACUCACCAUAUACUUUAGCUCGGCAGGGCGCCGCGAAGCGCGCAACUUUUUGUUUACUAGUACUUAUUAGCAGCCGGUGAAGUAAUAAAAGUGCGUACAGCUUUGCUUUACUUUUUGUUUACCUAUUGCAUCCCUACUUUGGCUCUGUAGUGUCCUGCCAGCGGCCUGCGUACUUAGGCCUAAUUUGAUAGGCCAUGAGUAUGUGGCCAGCUGAGUGGCGCGCAGGCCAUAAAUGCGCUGCAGUCAGAGGGGCUACUUCUACCGUCGCGAGUACUGCACCGCGUGCGCGUCCUCCACGACCAGACACGUGUCCCGCCAGUCCUCGACCGCGCCGGCAACACGGUUCACUCCACCACGUCCUCGCGCGAGUGCGUGUCUCAGGUGUUAGCCACGACGACUGGCCACCCGGCUGCUCCGGUCCGUCAGUUAAGACCCAGCACUCGUCCUUCAUCGCUCUCGGUCCAUCAGCACGAGCCCGUAUGACCUUCACCUCGGCCGUCGACCACCAUCCCUAUGCUCCACACCUACACACCACAAGCCGACCGAUAUGGUUGCACAAAACAUAAUCUCACACUCUGGUCAGUCCACAGACUACCACAGAGUGCUAUUCGUUGAUAAUCACUCAUCAUCAACCCGAACCACAAGGGAAGAGACAAAUCAACCUUGUGUUCGCACUUUUCCAACCCUAUUUCUCCACAAGCCGACCACAAAGGUCAAGGCAAAUCCUUUCCUUAAACUUGCUCAACGAGCGGGAGAUACAAACUUCUUGGGGUCUUCCACAAGUUGGAGACUCCCAAGCACACACAAACCGUCAAGGAACCAAAGUUCCAAGAGUAAUAAAUUCGCACAAGUGAAGUUUGCAAAACGAGCUCAAGUGAGGGAGAGGGAGGAGGAGAGUGAAAAACCAACAACAAAUCAACGAACGUCACCUCACACCGAAGAUCCUCCAACCGUUGGAAGAGGAUGCGAUUUGAGGUGUGGGAGAUAGAGUUAGAGCGCUUGUUUUGAGUUUGGUGAGCAGUAAAGUCAGGGAGAGUGGCUGAAGUAAAUGAGGAGAGAGAGGGAAAGGGGAGUAUAUAUAGGUGUCCCUCUCUCAGGGCAGAAGAUUUGAAAAAUCUGUGCAAAGGUCGGUUGAACCGCACCCAGGGCCGGUUCAACCGUCUGAUAGGUCAGACCUAUCAGAACGGCCUUCUGACUAAAGGUCGGUUGAACCGCACCCUAGGGCCGGUUCAACCGCUAUUUUCCAGAGAGGUCUGAGUAUAAAGUCCGGUUGAACCAGCCAACAGGGCGAGGUUCAACCGCAUUUUGUCAGAGAGGUUUGCGAGGCCGGUUCAACCGCUUUUUACCAGAGACUUCCGGAACAGAGUCCGGUUGAACCGCACCCUAGGGCCGGUUCAACCACACUUUUCCAGAGACUUCUUUUGGAGAAGUCAGGUUGAAUUGCCCCUGAGGUAGGUUCAACCUUUCUUCCUAGAGAGGGUAUCAAAUGCAAAUUCUCUGGAGCGGAUUGAACUUUUGCAAACCAAAUUCGAAAUGCGGUUUUCAAAAUAGAUUUUGAAGAGUAGAGAUUUUGAGCUCUUGCAAACAUUUUAUACCUUUGUGCGAAUCCCUCUUGAUUGUACGGUGAAUCCUAUGACUCAAGAAAAAGUAAAUUUCGAAGAGCCUUCUCUUGGAAACACCAGAAACACAGUGCGAUGUAUGAACCAAGUUUUAGUAGUUAUCGCCUUGAUCCGUGUUUCUUCCUCUUUUAAAAUGUAUUCUGUUUAUCUACCUAAUUUGCAAUAACUAAAUAUACACUUGGAGCAAACUUGUUAGACACCUUAUUUGUUUUGUCAUUUAAUGACCAAAACCUUCAAAAAGGUUGAUUGUACUUACACCUUCGGCGGUUGCGCAGAGGAAAGCGGUUGCCCGACAGCGCUCCUCUCGGUAUGUUGGGCUUCUGCUUCUCCUUCGCAUUCGGCUCUUUCCCUUGUUCCAUGUUUUUUUGAGAUUCCUCUGGUUAGCAUGUACGUAUCGAGCAAGUCUGUGAACGACGCGGCUUUGGCGGCGAAGGGGGCGCCCCGUCCCCUCGGGUCCUCUUACUGCCGGCGCCGGAUGGGGCGGCUCCUUUCGCUGUCGCCUUCGUCCCACCAGCUGAGGCGGCGACUGCUCCUCGCGUGGCAGACGCUCCAGCCUCCUUGGUCGUCCUGGAGGUGCCAGGAGUGGUUGCCCCUGGUGCGGCCUUCUUUGAGCCGCCGCCUUCUGCACCUGGCCCGGGGCAGGUUUCGGUCGCCGAGGAAGUCGUUGUCGGCGCGCGCUCGGUGGCGGCAGGGUCGGUCGCCGGUCUGCCGCCGCCGCCCCCGCCCCGUGAAGGGGGUUCUGGGUUGGCGCUGUUGCCCGCGGAGGUCGCCGCGCCCUAGGUGCCACCGCCGCCUGCCGCUAUUGCCUUGACUUCCGCAGGUGCCGCGGUACCCAUGGGAUCUGAGGAAAUCCACGGGGGGCUUCCCCUCUCCCUCCCUGAAGGACGGGGGGCAGAGGCAGAAGAGUGGCAGCGGACCGAGUCAGCCUCGUCUCGGGCCAACUCGAGCUUAGAAACUAUCGAGCGCAUGUUCGGUAGCUUCGAGGAGGCGAUUUCGAUUGCUUGGGCGUCGAUGACGCGGGAUCUGAUUCCUUUUGGUUAGCGCCUCCUUAUGCGGUCGGUGGCUCGAGAGGAAGCGCUACUAGCCGCCCAACAGGAGGUGGAGCAGUUGCGUGCUGGGGCCAUUCGGCUCAGGGAGUGGGAGCGCGAGCUCACCACCCUUUGUUCUGAGGCUGUCCGGCUUCGGAGCGAGACGCCGCUCCUACGCGUGGAGCAUGACGAUGCUUAGGGCAACAUGGAUCACCUACGGGAGGAGGGGUCCCGACUCUAAGAGGCCCUCGAUGGGAUGAGCCUUGGGGCCGAGGGGGCCACGCCGAACCUUGGGGAGGUCGACGCCUGUCUAGGGGAGGCAAACUCGGAGCUCCAAAGGGAACGCAAUGCAACUGGAGAGCUCUAAAAGAUGAUUUCCCAAGCUGAGGUCGCCAGGAAGGCAGCAGAAGAGGCGAAGACGGUGGCAGAAGGAAGGAUACGAGAGCUCUCGCUUGCUUGUGAUGGCACCGUUGUUUCGAGACUCCAGGCGGAGACCUCACUUUCGGAGCGGAGCGCCGAGCUCCAAGUGCUUCACCCGAUCGUCGGCUCGGUGUGCACUCACCUUUCUUCUCCACCGCCGAUCGAGGUCCCUCUAAUCAAUCGGCUGCGAGCGCUGUCCGAUCAUGUGGAGCACGUGGUCGUCGAGGGAGCAUAUCACGGGAGCAUCCUUGCCCUGGGACAGAUGGUCUCCCAUUUCGAUGAAAUCGACUCUGGUGUGAUCGCGGAAGGCUUCGCCGCCGGUUGAAGUGACGAGGAGCUGGGUGCCAUUGAGGUGCAGGUCCAUCCCCACGCCCGGUCGAUCGUGGGCCGGGUCAAUGUGAAGUUCCUCCUGAUCGACCCCUGGAGCCUGGGACCACUCGCCGGUGGUCCGUCCACCCAUUCUUAGUCGGCGUUCAUUGUAAUGUUUUGUAAUGACUAUCUUUAGAUGUCCUGACUGUGAUCUUAUGUAUAAUAUUAUCUGUUUUAAACUCUGCAUCCUUCCUUUU